GACGAACGCUGGCGGCGUGCUUAACACAUGCAAGUCGAACGGAAAGGCCCUGCUUUUGUGGGGUGCUCGAGUGGCGAACGGGUGAGUAACACGUGAGUAACCUGCCCUUGACUUUGGGAUAACUUCAGGAAACUGGGGCUAAUACCGGAUAGGAGCUCCUGCUGCAUGGUGGGGGUUGGAAAGUUUCGGCGGUUGGGGAUGGACUCGCGGCUUAUCAGCUUGUUGGUGGGGUAGUGGAUUACCAAGGCUUUGACGGGUAGCCGGCCUGAGAGGGUGACCGGCCACAUUGGGACUGAGAGACGGCGCAGACUCCUACGGGAGGCAGCAGUGGGGAAUAUUGCACAAUGGGCGGAAGCCUGAUGCAGCAACGCCGCGUGCGUGAUGACGGCCUUCGGGUUGUAAACCGCUUUCGCCUGUGACGAAGCGUGAGUGACGGUAAUGGGUAAAGAAGCACCGGCUAACUACGUG
rnacentral:rRNA from 1 species